rnacentral:rRNA from 1 species
CUACGGGUGGCAGCAGUGGGGAAUUUUGCGCAAUGGGGGAAACCCUGACGCAGCAAUACCGCGUGAGUGAAGAAGGCCUUUGGGUCGUAAAGCUCUUUUCUUGGGGAAGAUAGUGACGGUACCCAAGGAAUAAGCACCGGCUAACUCCGUGCCAGCAGCCGCGGUAAUACGGAGGGUGCAAGCGUUGUUCGGAUUUACUGGGCGUAAAGGGCACGUAGGCGGCACAGCAAGUUAAGGGUGAAAUCCCGGGGCUCAACUCCGGAACUGCUCUUAAAACUGCUGAGCUAGAGAUAGUCAGAGGCGGGGGGAAUUCCAGGUGUAGAGGUGAAAUUCGUAGAUAUCUGGAGGAACACCGGUGGCGAAGGCGGCCCGCUGGGGCUAUUCUGACGCUAAGGUGCGAAAGCGUGGGGAGCAAACGGGAUUAGAUACCCGCGUAGUC